GACGAACGCUGGCGGCGUGCUUAACACAUGCAAGUCGAACGAAGUGGCGCACGGGUGAGUAACGCGUCAUCAACCUGCCCUUCAGAGGGGGACAACAGUUGGAAACGCCUGCUAAUACCGCAUACUGAAGGAGGGGAUUGCGUCUGAUUCGCUAGUUGGAGUGGUAACGGCCCAACAAGGCGAUGAUCAGUAGCCGGGCGUAGAGGGUGAAAGGCCACAUUGGGAACGGGACACGGCCCAGACUCCGACGGGAGGCAGCAGUGGGGAAUAUUCCGCAAUGGACGAAAGUCUGACGGAGCAACGCCGCGUGAGGGAGGACGGCCUUCGGGUUGUAAAGCUCUGUUAAUCGGGACGCGGUACCGGAAUAGAAAGCCACGGCUAACUACGUGCCAGCAGCCGCGGUAAUUC
rnacentral:rRNA from 1 species